UGGGGAAUAUUGCACAAUGGGCGAAAGCCUGAUGCAGCGACGCCGCGUGAGGGAUGACGGCCUUCGGGUUGUAAACCUCUUCAGCAGGGAGAAGCGAAAGUGACGGUACCUGCAGAAGAAGCGCCGGCUAACUACGUGCCAGCAGCCGCGGUAAUACGUAGGGCGCAAGCGUUGUCCGGAAUUAUUGGGCGUAAAGAGCUCGUAGGCGGUUAGUCGCGUCUGCUGUGAAAACUCGAGGCUCAACCUCGGGCUUGCAGUGGGUACGGGCUGACUAGAGUGCGGUAGGGGUGACUGGAAUUCCUGGUGUAGCGGUGGAAUGCGCAGAUAUCAGGAGGAACACCGAUGGCGAAGGCAGGUCACUGGGCCGCAACUGACGCUGAGGAGCGAAAGCAUGGGGAGCGAACAGGAUUAGAUACCCUGGUAGUCCAUGCCGUAAACGUUGGGCACUAGGUGUGGGGUCCAUUCCACGGAUUCCGUGCCGCAGCAAGCAGCAUUGAAGUGCCCCAGCUGGGGACGGCUGACGGCCGCAAGGCUAAAACUCAAAAUGAAUUGACGGGGUCAUUGCUGUUUCCU
rnacentral:rRNA from 1 species